GUUCCUGUAGUUGAAUAACAACGGUGGUUCUUCAAGUCAUUGGUCUCAGUUAGAGCCUGGGUAGGAAUU
rnacentral:tRNA from 1 species